rnacentral:rRNA from 1 species
AUUGAACGCUGGCGGCAUGCUUUACACAUGCAAGUCGAACGGCAGCGCGGGGGCAACCCUGGCGGCGAGUGGCGAACGGGUGAGUAAUGCAUCGGAACGUAUCCUGUAAUGGGGGAUAACGUAGCGAAAGUUACGCUAAUACCGCAUACGCUCGAGAGAGGAAAGUGGGGGAUCGCAAGACCUCACGUUAUAGGAGCGGCCGAUGUCCGAUUAGCUAGUUGGUGGGGUAAAGGCCUACCAAGGCGACGAUCGGUAGCUGGUCUGAGAGGAUGAUCAGCCACACUGGGACUGAGACACGGCCCAGACUCCUACGGGAGGCAGCAGUGGGGAAUUUUGGACAAUGGGCGAAAGCCUGAUCCAGCCAUGCCGCGUGCGGGAAGAAGGCCUUCGGGUUGUAAACCGCUUUAGUCCGGGAAAAAGGGGUGCGAGGUUAAUACCCUCGUGCUUUGAUGGUACUGGAAGAAUAAGCACCGGCUAACUACGUGCCAGCCGCCGCCGUAAAAC